rnacentral:rRNA from 1 species
CCGCGGUAAUACGAAGGGUGCAAGCGUUACUCGGAAUUACUGGGCGUAAAGCGCACGUAGGCGGCUGUCCAAGUCAGGGGUGAAAGCCCGGGGCUCAACCCCGGAAUAGCCCUUGAAACUGGAAGGCUAGAAUCACGGAGAGGUGGGUGGAAUUCCGAGUGUAGAGGUGAAAUUCGUAGAUAUUCGGAAGAACACCAGUGGCGAAGGCGGCCCACUGGACGUGUAUUGACGCUGAGGUGCGAAAGCGUGGGGAGCAAACAGG